UGUGCCUCUGCUAUGGAAGUGGCAGGACAGAAGGCAGGGAUGUUGUCUGGUCCUUAAAACACUUAGGGCAGAGUCUCACAACACAAAUCUGAACAAUAUUUGCAUAUACUAAUUUAUAUGUACAGAGGCAGAUUUAUUUUUUUUUUUUUAAAAGCAAUUUAUUGGAUUUUACAAUAGGAAUAAAUGUAAUAAACAAUAUAACAUUCGUCUUAACAUUAUUUCACAUUUUCUUUGGACUUCCUCACAUCUCCCGCUCCCACCUUCAUCAUUAUAACAUUUUGUCAGCAAUUUAUCAUCUUAUUUAAGUUCUUAUAUCUCUUCGAUAUUUCAUAAUCUUAAAGUUCUCAUAAAGAGUUAAACUUUCACAGUUUUUCUUAUUUUCUUAAAAACUUCUAAGUUAAGUGGUGCUCAGUUAUUUAGUCUAGCAUCUUAUUCAGCAUUCAGUCAAAUCACAAUGCUUUUGUAGAUAGUUCUUAAAUUUCUUCCAAUCCUCCUCGAUUCUCUCUUCUCCCAGGUCACGGAUUCUGCCAGUCAUUUCAGCCAGUUGCAUAUAGUCUAUCAGUUGCAUCUGCCAUUCUUCCAGUGUGGGUAGAUCUUGAGUUUUCCAAUGUUUUGCGAGUAGUAUCCUUGCUGCUGUUGUUGCAUACAUGAAAAAUGUCUGAUCCUUCUUUGCCACCCCUUGGCUGACAAUACCCAAAAGGAAAGCCUCUGGUUUCUUAGUGAAAGUAUAUUUAAAUACCUUUUUCAAUUCAUUAUAAAUCAUUUCCCAGAACGCCUUCACUUUAGGGCAGGUCCACCAGAGGUGAAAGAACGUUCCUUCACACUCUUUACAUUUCCAGCACUUGUUAUCAGACAGGUGGUAAUUUUGCGAGUUUGACUGGGGUCAUAUACCAUCUAUAAAUCAUUUUCAUUACAUUUUCUUUCAAAGCAUUACAUGCAGUGAAUUUCAAUCCAUUACUCCACAGCCUUUCCCAGUCCUCAAACAUAAUGUUAUGCCCAAUAUCCUGUGCCCACCUUAUCAUAGCCGAUUUAACCAUUUCAUCUUGUGUAUUCCAUUCCAACAGCAAGUUAUACAUCCUUGAAAGUAUCUUAGUCUUUGGUGUACAGAGGCAGAUUUAGACUGGUUUUCAGAGCCUCUCUAUAACCAACAUAAUUUUUAAAAGUUUUAAUAAAAAUGUGGUGUGUGAGAAAUGUGAAGCCCCCUGAACCACUCCCUAACAAUACCCUGGCAUUAAUUAAACUCUUUUAAUUAUUCACAUUUUCAUAGAAUUGUAGAGUUGGAAGGGACCCCGAGGGUCAUCUAGCCCAACCCCCUGCAGUGCAGGAA